rnacentral:lncRNA from 10 species
CUUGCAAGUUCCACCAUGUGAGGAUACAGGGAGAAAAUGGCAGUCUAUGAACCAGGAAGCAAGUCUUCACCAGAACCCAGCUGUGCUAGCACCCUGAACUCAGGCUUUCAGCCUCCAGAACUAUCCUCAGAGCUUUAUAGCCUUUCAGUUGAGAAAUAUGAAACACUGAAAAUCAAAAACAAAUGCUGGAAAUCUUCUCCUGCCACCAUGUAAGAUAUGCCUUUCACCUUCAGCCAUGAUUGCGAGGCCUCCCCAGCCUGAUGGAAUUAAAAACCAUGCCUUUCCUAUGUGGAUAAUCAGCAAAGCUGAGGACAUCGGGAAGCAACUCAGGAUUGCCAGUUUACAGCUCUUCUGGAUGUGCACUGGUUAAUGCAUGGAAUUCAGCAACAGCAGACUUUGUUCCUUUGAUGGAUCCAGAAGAUCGCCACAUCAAGGAAUAUGGUGGUAAAACUGCAAGAUAAUCUGCCACCCCUAACAACUAUAGAAGUUCUAAGGAUGUUAGAGACUCAUAGAGAGGAAUUCUAAUGGCCAUACUUGAACCGUUGCAGCAAUACACUCAGAAGAUUGGUGAAAGAAAAGAAAGGCAUUUUGAAAGUGAUUUUCAAAAAACAGUUAAUCCAGAAUUCCAUAUUUAGCAAAAUUAUACUUCAAGAAUGAAUGUGACAUGAUAAUGUCAAUGAAAAGAAAAACAAAAUAAUUUGUCACCCCAAAAAAUUAUUGAACAAGAAUGCUAAAGAAAGUAGUGUAUAACGUAUAUGGCUGUGAAAUAUAUUAUGAUUAAAGCCUAGAGGAUUUUGGAAGAUGUGUUAAAUGGGCAUGUGUGUUUCAAGUUUUCUACAUUUAAAGUAAUGCUAUAACAUCCAUUGAAGUAGGCUGAGAAAUGUUAAGAAUAAAUAUCAUACCUGAGAAUCAGUAUCUGAGAGAAAAAUAAUGUGGGACAUACAUGUAAUUUUAAAAUAUAUAAUAGCCACGUUUGAAAAAGCAAAAUGAAACAAGUG